rnacentral:rRNA from 1 species
AGAAUCAACGCUGGCGGCGUGCCUAACACAUGCAAGUCGCACGAGAAAGGGGAGCAAUCCCUGAGUAAAGUGGCGCACGGGUGAGUAACACGUGAAUCGUCUACCUCCGAGUGGGGAAUAACCUAGAGAAAUCUGGGCUAAUACCGCAUAACACUUACGAGUCAAAGCAGCAAUGCGCUUGGAGAGGAGUUCGCGGCCGAUUAGUUAGUUGGCGGGGUAAUGGCCCACCAAGACGAUGAUCGGUA